UGGGGAAUUUUGGACAAUGGGCGAAAGCCUGAUCCAGCAAUGCCGCGUGUGUGAAGAAGGCCUUCGGGUUGUAAAGCACUUUUGUCCGGAAAGAAAUCCUUGGCUCUAAUACAGUCGGGGGAUGACGGUACCGGAAGAAUAAGCACCGGCUAACUACGUGCCAGCAGCCGCGGUAAUACGUAGGGUGCAAGCGUUAAUCGGAAUUACUGGGCGUAAAGCGUGCGCAGGCGGUUUGCUAAGACCGAUGUGAAAUCCCCGGGCUCAACCUGGGAACUGCAUUGGUGACUGGCAGGCUAGAGUAUGGCAGAGGGGGGUAGAAUUCCACGUGUAGCAGUGAAAUGCGUAGAGAUGUGGAGGAAUACCGAUGGCGAAGGCAGCCCCCUGGGCCAAUACUGACGCUCAUGCACGAAAGCGUGGGGAGCAAACAGGAUUAGAUACCCUGGUAGUCCACGCCCUAACGAUGUCAACUAGUUGUUGGGGAUUCAUUUCCUUAGUAACGUAGCUAACGCGUGAAGUUGACCGCCUGGGGAGUACGGUCGCAAGAUUAAAACUUAAAUGAAUUGACGGGGUCAUAGCUGUUUCCU
rnacentral:rRNA from 1 species